CCUUCUGAAAGCCUCCGUCCACUUCUGCCAUUAACCACCUAGGAGGCCGGGAAGUGCAAUCUGUCCAGGAAGGGUAGGAAAUGGAGUUUUGGUGAAUUACUGAGCCCCCGCAACAAUCUGCCCUCUGGCGACCCAGAGGUAGCGUCCCCCUUCUUGGCUCGCACCACCCUCCACCAGGGGCACACCCUCACACCACACCCCGUUUCCGCUCGAGGCCUCCUAUCUCUUAGGGAUGCACCAUGUUCUCCACCUGCGGCAGCCCGGGAUCUAGAAGUAAGAGCCAAGUUACUACCUGCUCUGAACCAGAAUGAGAUGUGGGACAGGGACGGGAUGAAUGCGGGUAAAACUCAUCAGAACAAGGGAGAGCACGCGGCAGCACCAGGCCAGCGACGGUGGGAUCCAGGGAGCAGGCAUCGGGGGUCCCCCCGCCCUGGCUCUGCUCUCUGGGAGGACCCUCCCAGGCCCGUUUUCUCCGAGGAGGAGUCUGUACACUUUGCGCAGCCUGCCCACACAGGCGUGGCUCGGGGGUCAAACCGCAGGCUCGUGGCUUCUCUGGCAAGAGCGAUUUCCUCCAAAAUGCAGGGAGCUCUCCUUUCAGGAAGUUCCAGGGGACUACACCUGAGGUUCUCUUUUUAACAUAGCUUUCUGGAGGCUUCUUUGCUUUGCUCUCUAAUCACUCGUCUGUCCCUGUCUCAGUUCACUGAUGCUUCACCUCCCGAGCCUCUCAGACGAUUAGCGAGCAGGCCAAGUCAACGCUUCCCCUGAGCUUGGCCUGCGGCCGAGGCCUUUGCCCACAGAACCGAGAAGGUUGUUGGCUCAAACGUUUUCGGUUUUAUUCCCUGCUAUUUGGGGCCGGUAGCAGGUGCCUUUUCCAACUGCAAGGCCUGCAACGCUUUCACCCACCUUUCUUCUGGCUGCAGACCUGUAUUCCUCACGCCUCGCCUCGAGCUGAAGGAACAAGCCGCACGCGUGGGUAUCCAGCUUGUUUCACCGGACUCCCCCCCCCCCAACCCGGAGCCACAGGGUGGGUGCCCGGUCUGCCCCCCAAGGCACCGCAGGGGACGGUGUUCACAAACAUUUGGCCCCUGCAGAACAUGAGUCCCCAGCUUCCCACUCUGCAGUAAUAUGUCCCCGCUGCCUGACCACUGAGCCCGUGCUACGAAUUUCCGGCUGUAGAUCCUGGAGGUGCCCUACUUGAAGACGCCUUUGGCGCACUAUUUGGUAUAACAAACACGCCCCCAAAUGCAGCUCGGCCCAAGCCCAAAUAAGAGUUUGGUUUUGACAGGGGCCUCGUCUCCAUGCAGCAGUUCAGGGACCCGUGGUCUUUACGAGUGGAUUCACUGUCCCCAAAGCCUUGCCAUCGACUCAUCCAGCAGUGGAAUGAGAAGGACAGAGCCUGGAAGGAGCCCGGCUCGUUUCCACACAUGUUCCAUUGGCCAGGACUCGGGGCCCAGGGACACGCCAGCCACACGGAGGCCGGUAGGUGCAGCAGCUGUGUGUCCGCGAGUGGAGACAGAUUCAGUUGUGAGCAGCCUCCGCCACAGCUCAAGGCUCUCCAUCAUCUGGCCCGCCCACCUCCCCAGACUCCUUUCCUCACUCCCUCACUUCCGGCAACUUCAAAAGAUGCCCUAAGCCACCUCACUGUUGGGCCUUUGCUCAUGCUGUUUGGUCUACUCAGAGCUUUCUCUCCCGACUGUUCCAUCUGUCUGCCCAUCUGUCCAUCCAGCCAGCCAUCCAUCCAACCAUCCAGCAAGUAUCGUUGAGCCUUAAACAUGUGCCAGGCACUGAUCUGAUCUCCAAACGAGCAUAUCAAAACGAGCAACAUGGAAAACAAACAAUUCUGUCUUCGCGGGGCUUGUAUUUUGCAGCGAGAUGCACACAGCAAAUAACAAACAAUCCCAAGCAAAGCGGAUUCCAGAACGACCGCGGAGAGGCUUAUUCCUGUCCUGUCUCGGCAUCUUCCCACAUCUAACGUGUGACUUCAUCGUGGAGUGCCUCUCACAUCUGGACAGUCUGUAGAAAGAAGCCUCUUGAAGGAUCCUGUGACGUCCUGCCUUCCAGCCUCUCCCUGAUCCAGGAGGUUGCCGAACCUCAACCCACAGGUCUCCCAUCCAACUCCCUGAUUCUGGCCUGCCAGCGUCCCCCUUCACCUCCUACAGGCUCAUGACACGCCAGCCCCUGGGGCGCCACCGUCCUGAGGACUGAGGGCCUCCCGAUGGGAGUGGCCAUUCCGACAGCCUUUCUGCGUUGGCUUGGCAUUGGGACCUGUCAUUCUCGAUCAUGCCGGCUUCAGCCCUUGGCGUCUAGAUGGCCUGGCGUGAUGGCAGAUGCCCCGCCCCUAGCUGGCAAGAAUAUUUUAUCCCGGCUACUUGUCUGCGUGCAUCCACGUCCCUUCCUCCCCUGGACCACGCAGGGAAGACACGCCUGCAAGCCCCACUUCCCAGAGCCCUUAGCAUUGGGCUGCCCGGUCAUUUCUGCCCGAGGGAGGCGCCGGCAGGAGACUAGAAGGCAGUGAAGGAGUUUCUGGAUUUGGGGGCGUUUUUAGCGGCGGUGGCAGCAGGGACCUGCGGGCCUGUACUCCGGGGUUUUGUUUGGGCAGCGAAGCCCUUCCAGCGGCCCAGUGAUCGCAGCUUGCGGCGACACUCUGUCACCGGCUCCCACCGGUAGCUUCCACGCUGGCUCCUCUCAUCCUUCCUAUGGUUUGGUAACCAGUCCCCGCACGAAAUCCCCUCUGUCUGAAGCACCUAGAGUCAGUUUUGCUGACUCUCCACUGGCCGCUGUUCUUGGGAUGGGCUACGGCCUCCGAGGAUCGGGGGGCCGGGCCCCGGCUGCGCUGGAGCGCACGCAUGACCUCGCUGCCGGAAGGCGGGGCCUGGAGCCCCCCUGGCUGCUGUCCCCAGUCACCGUGAUGGGGACCACAGGCGCAGAUGCUCUGGUAUGGGCUGGCAGCGGGGGCUGCGCUGGAGCCAGAGGGAGGAAAACCCAGGGCUCGGCUUGAGGCGCAGGUCCCAAACCACAAAGCGUCCGAGGCCAGAAAAGCCCGUCUUUGAUAUCGUGUAGCUGUCGGCCGGAUACGACUGCAAACAGAACCCCGGAUAGGAUCUGGCUGGUUGUGGUGACAAGUCCGUCGCGUUCCCAGCCUCGCCAGACUCUGAUGUGCACUUUACGGUGCUGACUUGGAAGGAGCGGGGCCCUGAGAAUAGCACAGGGGACACUUGGCUGGACUUGAGCAAAUCAGAGAAUCCCGAACUGGGGAAGGGACAAUGUGAGCGAAUGCUCGAACGUCCUACCCCAGCUGCACGCGAUGUCUUCUCACGCCCGCUGGGCCCCCCGAUUAGUGAUGCACCUCGUAGCUCGGCACGGAACCGUCCUCAGCCUUCCAAACGAGCAGAGAAGCUGCCAGAAGAGUUAUCUGUGGAUUGCCCUCGGUUACCAUUUGUCACCUAAAGUAAGAUCUCACGACACACAAGCGCAGCAGCAUGAGGCAGGAGCUAGGUGUGGAUCCUGGUUCCCCUGCUCUCUAGCUAUGUGGGCUGCAGCCUAAUGACUCCCCGCUUCUGAGCCUCAGUUUCCUCAUCCGUAAAACAGGCCUAAGAACCGGGAUCUCACGGCAUGGCUGUGACGACGAAGCCGGACGGAAACUCUGAAGGGCCUGGUGAUCGUGGUGCCUUCCCGUUCUGUUCGGACUAGCACCGUAAUUCCGAGUGAGGACUAGGAGAAAAACUUCCCACUCAAGGGUCCCGCCCUCCCCGGGCAGUGGCGUCGUGGGUAGGGAGCGGGACACACACACGACGGGGCCACACAGUCCUCGAGCACAGUGCCCGGCUUACCCCAGAGGCCCGCACCACUGGACCAGGAUUUCCCGACAAGGCUCUUUGGCGGGGAGAGGGCCAUGCCUAAGAGCAGUAGCUGACGUGAGGUGACGGGACCUCACAGCCUUUUCCUGGUGACCCCCGUCCAGCUGCCCCGCUGGCCUUGUUGAGAGCACGGCCGUGGCCUCAGGAGGUGGGAGCUGCGGCACGGGAAACGAUGCCAAAGUCCCCGGAUCCUGACACGACCGGUGUCUGGCCGGGAGACCUUAGCCAAGCCCUGGUGCCUGUCGCAGCGAGUUCCUUACCUGAAAAUGGGGGCUUUGCUGCUCAUUAAAUAAGCGGCUGAAUGCCAGGGACCAGGGACAGAAUGGA